rnacentral:rRNA from 1 species
AGAGUUUGAUUCUGGCUCAGGACUAACGCUGGCAGCGUGCCUUACACAUGCAAGUCGGACGGAGAGAAAGUAGUUACUUGUAACUGCUUGAUCUUAGUGGCAAACGGGUGAGUAAUAGAUAGGUUAUCUACCACGAAGACGGGGAUACUCCCAUGAAAAUGGGAACAAUACCCGAUAAUAUCUACGGAAGAAAGGCGCGUUUGCGCCACUUUGUGACGAGCCUAUCUCCCAUCAGCUUGUUGGAGGGGUAACGGCCCACCAAGGCGAUGACGGGUAGCUGGUCUGAGAGGAUGAUCAGCCACACUGGAACUGAGAUACGGUCCAGACUCCUACGGGAGGCAGCAGUGGGGAAUUUUGGGCAAUGGGCGAAAGCCUGACCCAGCGACGCUGCGUGGACGAAGACGGUCUUUGGAUUGUAAAGUCCUUUUGUCGGGGAGUAAGAGUAAGCCGAGGAAAUGCGGUUUGCUUUGCAAGUACCCGGCGAAUAAGCCCUAGCUAACUACGUGCCAGCAGCUGCGGUAAUACGUAGAGGGCAAGCGUUGUCCGGAAUCACUGGGUGUAAAGGGUGUGCAGGCGUUUCUGUAAGUGAAUUGUGAAAUCCCAGAGCUCAACUCUGGAACUGCAGUUCAUACUGCGGAAAUCGAGGUCAUGAGAGGAAAAUAGAAUUCCCGGUGUAGCGGUGAAAUGCGUAGAUAUCGGGAGGAAUACCAAUGGCGAAGGCAGUUUUCUGGCAUGAAUCUGACGCUCAUACACGAAGGCUAGGGGAGCAAACAGGAUUAGAUACCCUGGUAGUCCUAGCAGUAAACGAUGGAUAUUAGGUGUCGGGAAGGACUUCUUCUCGGUGCCGUAGCUAACGCGUUAAAUAUCCCACCUGGAAAGUACGGCCGCAAGGUUGAAACUCAAAGAAAUUGACGGGGGCCCGCACAAGCAGCGAGGCAUGUGGUUUAAUUCGAGGCUACACGAAGAACCUUACCUGGAUUUGACAUGUUUAUGAACGGUCUGCGAAAUCAGAUCUUCUAUUCCCUUCGGGGAGUAGCAUUUUCACAGGUGGUGCAUGGUUGUCGUCAGCUCGUGCCGUGAGGUGUAAGGUUAAGUCCUUAAACGAGCGCAACCCACUUCACUAUUUGCCACCGGACUUUGUCCGAGCUACUAUAGUGAUACCGCCGGCGACGAGCCGGAGGAAGGAGUGGACGACGUCAAAUCAUCAUGCCCCUUAUGUCCAGGGCUACACACAUGCGACAAUGGUUGGUACAAUGGGUUGCGAUACAGCAAUGUGGAGCCAAUCCCGUAAAACCAGCCCCAGUACGGAUCGAGGACUGCAACUCGUCCUCGUGAAGAUGGAGUUGCUAGUAAACGCAGGUCAGCUAUACUGCGUUGAAUACGUUCCCGGGCCUUGUACACACCGCCCGUCACACCACUCAAGUGGGUUGUACCCGAAAACACAUACCCGAAUCCUUGCGAUAGGGCGUGUUGAAGGUGUGAUUCAUGAGAAGGGUGAAGUCGUAACAAGGCAGGUGUACGAGAACGUGCGCCUG